GGGCUCAACCUCGGAACCGCAUUUGAAACUGGCAGGCUAGAGUCUUGUAGAGGGGGGUAGAAUUUCAGGUGUAGCGGUGAAAUGCGUAGAGAUCUGAAGGAAUACCAGUGGCGAAGGCGGCCCCCUGGACAAAGACUGACGCUCAGAUGCGAAAGCGUGGGUAGCAAACAGGAUUAGAUACCCUGGUAGUCCACGCCGUAAACGCUGUCUACUUGGAGGUUGAGGUUUAAGACUUUGGCUUUCGGCGCUAACGCAUUAAGUAGACCGCCUGGGGAGUACGGCCGCAAGGUUAAAACUCAAAUGAAUUGACGGGGGCCCGCACAAGCGGUGGAGCAUGUGGUUUAAUUCGAUGCAACGCGAAGAACCUUACCUACUCUUGACAUCCAGCGAAGCCUUUAGAGAUAGAGGCGUGCCUUCGGGAGCGCUGAGACAGGUGCUGCAUGGCUGUCGUCAGCUCGUGUUGUGAAAUGUUGGGUUAAGUCCCGCAACGAGCGCAACCCUUAUCCUUGUUUGCCAGCACAUAAUGGUGGGAACUCCAGGGAGACUGCCGGUGAUAAACCGGAGGAAGGUGGGGACGACGACAAGUCAUCAUGGCCCUUACGAGUAGGGCUACACACGUGCUACAAUGGCAGAUACAGAGGGCAGCGAAGCUGCGAAGUGGAGCGAAUCCCUUAAAGUCUGUCGUAGUCCGGAUUGGAGUCUGCAACUCGACUCCAUGAAGUCGGAAUCGCUAGUAAUCGUGGAUCAGAAUGCCACGGUGAAUACGUUCCCGGGCCUUGCACACACCGCCCG
rnacentral:rRNA from 1 species